rnacentral:rRNA from 1 species
AGCAGUCGCCGCGGUAAUACGUAGGUGGCAAGCGUUGUCCGGAAUUAUUGGGCGUAAAGCGCGCGCAGGCGGAUCAGUCAGUCUGUCUUAAAAGUUCGGGGCUUAACCCCGUGAGGGGAUGGAAACUGCUGAUCUAGAGUAUCGGAGAGGAAAGUGGAAUUCCUAGUGUAGCGGUGAAAUGCGUAGAUAUUAGGAAGAACACCAGUGGCGAAGGCGACUUUCUGGACGAAAACUGACGCUGAGGCGCGAAAGCCAGGGGAGCGCACGGGAUUAGAUACCCCUGUAGUCCCUGUCUCUUAUACA